GAACUGAAUGUCUUCAAAAUGUCUAGAGGGCACCAGAUUGGUCUCGUGGAAGAAGCACAUUUUCUCUACUACCAAAUGCACUGAGAUUUGUUCAAGUGCCAUCAACUUCCAGCAGGAAAGCAAUUCAAGUGAAAUUGUACUCAGAAUUGUACCUUAACAUCCUGCAAUGUUUAAGAAGCCAGAAUUUUUUUCUUUAUGAGUGCCUGACGAUGUCAUAAGUUCUACAUGGUCCUGGUAGCAUCACCCACAUGGAUAGGAGACACAUGCAUUCCCCGAUCUUCCUGGGGCCCUGAAUCACAAUCUAUCAGAGAAAAUAUUGAGAUCAUUUUGUAUUUUUCUUUGUCUUAUACAGAAGUCGUAUGCAGAUUUAAACAGAAUGCUUGUCAGGGUGGAAGACGAAAAGGUUGAUAAGUGGCUUUCUAAUUUGAACCCCCAGUGCUGCCAGAACAUCGAACAGCAUGUAAAGCUGGUCUUCUCAUCCGCAGCUUGCAUCAAUGGAAGCUUUCAAAAAAUAAGGUAAAUGGCACACCUUCAAGUACCAAUUGAUUCUCUUAAGUGGAUUAUAAAUGGGAGAAAAUGUAGAGCAAGGUUGGAGGGAGGGAUAUAUGUAACAGAUAUCUCAAGAUGAGACUGAUCAUUGCAAAAGAACUUCAUUGACUUUUACAUUCUUACGGUUGUUUUCAUACCCAGUACCAACCCAUUAUUUAUAUUUAUUAGUAAAUUACACCCAUACCAGAGCUUAUUCCUCUCGCAAGGAACCCAAGUCUUCUGCAACCCUUCUCCUUUCCCUUUGAUUCUCACAACAACCCUGUGAGGUAGGUUAGGCCUGUGACUGCCCAAAGCAACCCAGCAAGUUUCCUGGCCAUGUGGAGACUAGAUCGCCUGAGGCCCUUCCAUACUCUAACCACUACACCACAUGGAUGUCAAUAUAAUCAAAAGUUUUCACAAUCAAGGGAAAGCAUUGUGAUUUCAAUUGGCCCUUUUCUUUCCAGUAGCAAGAAGCAUUUCAGACCACCUUGGGAAGUUGCAGAGGUGGAUAUGUCAGCUGUGUUGCUCUUCUGUGAGAAGAUUUUUGCCAAACCUAAAUUUUUCCAUGUGGUGAUGAAGGCUCUGAAGAAGCUCCUGCAGUCUCUUCCUUCCUCUUCUGUCUCCCCUGAGGCACUCAGAGUCUUCCUCAUUGUGCCCAUCUUCUUACGGAGGCAGGAUAUCCAGUCAGAUGCUCUUCUUGGUCAACUAGCACGAGCAAUUUACAAGCUCCCACUGGAACAGAAGCAAAUUCUUGGAUACCUGUGGUCUAAUCUAGAGGUCACCUUCUUCAAAGAUCUAGUGGGCAUGUAUCGACGACUUAUCGGUGUCCGGCUGUCUUCUCCCAUUGAACUUCUAAGAUGUUCAGUGAUCCAAAACCAAGAAGAUAAUUUCUAUUGCUCUCUUCAAGUCAUGCAAAUGCUUUAUAAGGUAAAUUGUAAAACUGGCUUCAGUAUCCAGGAAAGCAACUUUUAUGUCCCUGAACUGAAAAAAAUAGUGACUCCUUCCAGUUUUCAAAUAGUAAGUAAUGCAUCACUCAAAUGGGCGACAAUCCUGGGUGCUCUUGCCAACAUGAGAUUCAUUUUUCCAAUGUAGUUCUUCAUGUAGGGGUUAGUAUCUUGUAGAGGAAAAUUGCUGGAAGACUAUUGUAUACUGAGGAGAUAGGUGGUAUAACACAAUUGUCCUCUGAUUCCUACCUUAACUGGGCCUCACCUUUGGCUGUUGAGGCCAUCGGGCAAGCCGCUUGCUAAUUAGGAUGGUACAGCAUUGGAAUGCAGAAAAAGUAAAUGCAGAAAUGCAGGUACAGCAUAGGAUGGUACAGCAUUGGAAUGCAGAAAAAGUAAAUGCAGAAAUGCAGGUACAGCAUAGGAUGGUACAGCAUUGGAAUGCAGAAAAAGCAGAGCGUAUCACCGUGAGAGCCGGGAAUAGCAGAUGUGCCUAGUAAACUGCUUUGACUCUUAGAUUUAGGGUAGAGAGAGAGAAGCCGUGCAGCCCCACCGGAGCGGGUGCCAGUGUGAGAGCUAGCUGAGCAAGGAGGGUGACACAUGCCAGCCGAGAAUUGGGGGCUUUUUCUUUGUCGCUUGCGAGGGUGGGGUCCUGACAGCUGAUGGGGGGAAGCCAGCGUAUUUGGUAUUGUAUUUCUUUUUUCAUGUUAUGUCUGUUUGCCUGUUUUAGAGUAUUUUUUUAGACUUUAAACCACCUGUGUGCACAUUGCUUCUGGAUCCAAAAAGAACCUUUUGCCCUUGGCAAAACUUAUCUAAUGUCCGUCCUACAUAGAGUAGGUGCAUUGAAAGGACUAAUUUAAGCCCCUUUCAUUUAAGUGGCUCUUGUUGGAGAAAUCAAAGUUCCUUCAGGAUGUCUGUGGCGGCUGGCCCCAACUAGAGACAGGGUCACUCUAUAUGGUUAGUGUGCCCCUACAAUAGUCUUUUUAAAAUAUAAAACCACUUGCUGGUGUUGCUGGUCAGACAAUGAACAAGAGGGGCUUUUUUUGUCCUCAACCAAGUUUUGCAAACUUUGUUUCUUGGAUUGAAAUUGACUGGGUCUGGAUUUCCUUUCCAGAUGAAUUUUGAAAGUUACAGCUCUUGCAAAGAGAAGGAAUAUAAUUUAAACUUGGAUGUAAAUUUUAUUCAUUUGUGUUCAAAUUUAUAAGCUACUGAAUAGUCUGACAGGGCUCUCUAAGGGGCUAGCAACACUUACAAAAAACAGGUUAAUAUUACAAUUACUACAAGUACAGGGGGAGGAGAGGUGGGGGAAGAGAGAGAGAAAACUGCUGGUAGUAGGGUAAACUCUUAUAACCAGGUGGUAAAAUCAGGUCUUGAAAUAUCUGCAAGAUUUUGGUCCUGUGGAUGCAGCAUUAGUUUACAGGCAAACAGGAUUCCUAACCCAUGUUUGUCUUGUAAUGGUGAUGGAAGGGUGGUCAUUUGCACGAGAGAACUGGCUGCUGGGUAGGGUGAUUACCAUUUUCUCCUCCCAACAGUUUCCCUAUGUAUGUAUCCCAUUUUUCCCCCAACCAGGCUUUGAGACAUGAACUAUGCCAGCUAAGAGAAAAACAAGAGUAGGGAAGCAUUUGAAAGGCGGAACAGAGGGAUGGAAAGAAUUAAGGUGCUCUUCUGUGCAAGUUUAUAGAGGAAAAAGGCCCACAAUUCCCUGCAUGUCUCAGCAGACCUUGGCAUGCUGGGAGCUGCAGGCCCCUUUUCUGCCUAAAUAUGCACAGGAUUGCAUCCUUAAGCACUCUUACUUCCCAGCUCCCAGUUCUCUCCAUCCCAUCCCCUUAGCAAUUUGGAAACCUGCAAUUGUCAAUAUAAAAUAUAGCAUUUCUCUCAAACUUAUCCUAUUGCAUGCCAAACUGUUGGUGAAUUGAUCCAAAUAGCAUUGUAAUAUCUCAUACCCUUCACCUUAAAAUAAAAAGUAAAUGUAUACAUCGUUAUAUGUAUUGUGCUUGUGGUGGUGUCAUCUCAGGCAUCUGCUGGCUGUGGUGGUGUGAUGGUAUGGAAAGCUCAAGAACAUUCCAGCAUCUCAGGAGCAAAGUCUUUAGAAUGUUGAUUGUCCAUCCAGCAGGACGAUUUUUAAGACAGUUGGUCAUAAAAUAUGUUGAAACUUAUUUUCCUUUUCAAUUUUGUUUUAUCCAACUGGUGAACAGGGAAGAAUAUGGACACUGCUGCUUGAAUUAAAUGUAAGAAUUACAUGUAUCCUUACAUUGAAAUGCGAGCGUUAUCAUGCUCGCGUUUCUUUAGUUUCAAGUUAAAUUGGUUAUUGUUGUUGGUGUUAGUCGCAAAGUCGUGUCCGACCCAUCGCAACCCCAUGGACAACAUUCCUCCAGGCCUUCCUGUCCUCCACCAUCCCCUGGGGUCCACUUAAGCUCACACCAACCGCUUCAGUGACUCCAUCUAGCCACCUCAUCCUCUGCCGUCCCCUUCUUCUUUUGCCAUCUAUUGUUCCCAGCAUUAGGCUCUUCUCCAGGGAGUCCUUCCUUCUCAUUAGGUGGCCAAAGUAUUUGAGUUUCAUCUUCAGGAUCUGGCCUUCUAAAGAGCAGUCAGGGUUGAUCUCCUCUAGGACUGAUUGGUUUGAUUGCCUUGCGAUCCAAGGGACUUGCAGGAGUCUCCUCCAGCAUCAAAAUGGUUUACUGAAGCUCUCCAAACCCCAUCAUAGAUCAAUAUGCAUGUAAAUGUUCCAUAGGGAAGGGAGUAGUUUGCUGAUAUCUCCAAAAUUCUUCAGCAAGGAGCUGCGAGCCAUUUCUCCUUUGUGAGUACACUCCCUUAGGGCAACAUCCUAUAGGUCUUGCAACUGCAGGAGGUUUGGAGCAGCCAGUCAAGCAUGGUGGCAAGCAUUGCUUGCAUGUUCCCCUUGCUUCCAAAAACAUUUAGAUACUCAGAAACUUCUGAUCUCAGAGGUGUCCAUCUCGAGUUUCUCUAUAGCAAAACUGCUCUCUUCCUUAAUUUAAAUGACAUGCCAGCAUUCUCAACUAUCAGCAUCUGAGGUGUUUUAACUAAAUACCAAAAAAGUGUUAAAAGGCAGCUGAUAAGGACAGCAUUCUGAAUGUGUGGCUAUGUUAAUUAGAACUAGAGGUAAUAUUUAAAAAGCAAAAUGCACACACUUGGGUCUGCUGAGAGCCACUGCAGUGCAGUGGUUAAGCGCUCAGGACUGCACCCAGCUGGCCAACUCUCAGCCCAACUUCCCUCUCAGGACUGUUCUUAUGAGGAUAAGAUUGAGAGCAGGAGGAGAAUUACAUAAGCCGCACUGAAUUCUUUAAAAAGAAAAUAGUGGGCUAUAAAUUUAAUAAAGACAUGAUAAUGUUAUCAAAUGUUUAUAACAUUCUGAUAGAACCUGGGAGCUUAAAGUGAAAAUAAAAUGUGGCAAGGGAAAAUUCCAACAAAAAAAUCUAAUAAAUAUUGGUAUCUUUGUGAAGCAGGCUCUUAUAGUUCAAUCUACACUCUUCACAAAUGUGUUCUUCUCUGACUGUAUAUGCUAACUAUAUUAAAUUAUAUCUAUAUAUAAAUUAAAUCAGGUGCUUAAUAGUUAUGGGAGGUAAGAAGUGGGGUGAUUAGUAUCUAGACCAGCAGGACAUGCAUCAGAAAGCUGCAGUGUGGAAUGCUUGCAGUUUAGGGACACUGCAAUAUUUCCAAGAUACUCCAGUCCAUCAGCAUUCUUUGCCCGUUCAGCAUGCUCCAUUCCCCUGCCCUCCCUCCACUUCAAGAUUCUUUUCUACUGAAGUUUUUUUAAAACUUCUACAAGCAUCAGGGUUUCUCUCAAGCCUCCUAACAUGUCCCUCCCAUGUGUGGGUGGUGCCAUUUGGCUACAUAAGGACAUAUUUCAU
ensembl:lncRNA